rnacentral:rRNA from 1 species
UACGUAGGGUGCAAGCGUUGUCCGGAAUUAUUGGGCGUAAAGAGCUCGUAGGCGGUUUGUCGCGUCUGCUGGGAAAACUCGGGGCUUAACCCCGGGCCUGCAGUGGGUACGGGCAGACUAGAGUGCGGUAGGGGAGACUGGAAUUCCUGGUGUAGCGGUGAAAUGCGCAGAUAUCAGGAGGAACACCGGUGGCGAAGGCGGUGCUCUGGGCCAGUACUGACGCUGAGGAGCGAAAGCGUGGGGAGCAAACAGG